GAUGAACGCUGGCGGCGUGCCUAAUACAUGCAAGUCGAGCGAACGGACGAGAAGCUUGCUUCUCUGAUGUUAGCGGCGGACGGGUGAGUAACACGUGGAUAACCUACCUAUAAGACUGGGAUAACUUCGGGAAACCGUAGCUAAUACCGGAUAAUAUUUUGAACCGCAUGGUUCAAAAGUGAAAGACGGUCUUGCUGUCACUUAUAGAUGGAUCCGCGCUGCAUUAGCUAGUUGGUAAGGUAACGGCUUACCAAGGCAACGAUGCAUAGCCGACCUGAGAGGGUGAUCGGCCACACGGGAACUGGGACACGGUCCAGACUCCUACGGGAGGCAGCAGUAGGGAAUCUUCCGCAAUGGGCGAAAGCCUGACGGAGCAACGCCGCGUGAGUGAUGAAGGUCUUCGGAUCGUAAAACUCUGUUAUUAGGGAAGAACAGAUGUGUAAGUAACUGUGCACAUCUUGACGGUACCUAAUCAGAAAGCCACGGCUAACUACGUG
rnacentral:rRNA from 1 species